AGAGAUAGGAGCCGGGGAGGGAGGGGUUAAUGCGUGUCAGGUGACCUCCCCCUGCUGGAGGCACAGCUACAUGGAGAACAAUCCCAGAAUCCUCUGCGAGAAGGUCUCCCUAUGUAAACAAAGAGGGAGCUAUGGCUGCAAAGGGCAAAAUAACUGAACAGCAAUAAGAUGGGAUUAAACCUGUCACCCCUUCCAGCCCUGGAAGAAUGACUCUCAUUGCAUCACUUUAAGUAUUCUGAGACUAUCAAUUUGAUUUACAAGGGGAACUGGAUACAAACUUUAGGAGCAGAACUGAAAUUUCCCAGAAUCCUUUAUUUAGGUAAAGGCGCAGCAUGCGUUGUACUACAUAGGUUCCUCCUGUUUAUGUCCAUCCACUCAAAGACCAUUUUAUUUUUGCAUCCGUUUUCAUCAAUGAGAAGAUACCAUUCAACACUGUGUCUAUCUGGCAGUGGCGGUAUUAUAAUAUAAUUUCAAUAAUUUUGUAAAAUAGCGGUUCUUUCAAACUAAUAAACAAAGUCAGCUAUUUUUACUAAUUAAUAUUUUUUUUUUUUUGGUGCCCUUAUUUUAAUUAAGAGAGAGGUGCAUUUAAUUUCUUUGUAAAUGCAGUUAUACCAGGAAAUCUGAAUGAGAAUUUCUGUGCAGUCUAAAUACAUGGUAUUUGUA